UACGGGGGGGGCAAGCGUUGUUCGGAAUCACUGGGCGUAAAGCGCACGUAGGCGGAUCUUUUAAGUCAGGGGUGAAAUCCUGGAGCUCAACUCCAGAACUGCCUCUGAUACUGGGGAUCUUGAGUCCGGAAGAGGUAAGUGGAACUGCGAGUGUAGAGGUGAAAUUCGUAGAUAUUCGCAAGAACACCAGUGGCGAAGGCGGCUUACUGGUCCGGUACUGACGCUGAGGUGCGAAAGCGUGGGGAGCAAACAGGG
rnacentral:rRNA from 1 species